rnacentral:lncRNA from 1 species
CUCCUCAAAGGCGUCGCUUAGACAAGUUGUAGAACCGUCUUCAUCUCCAACUCCAAGGGUCGUCUCUUUUCACAAACUUAUUUAUAGAAUAGACCGUACAGGUUUGCAGUUUUUUGGAGUUCAUUCAUCACGUCCUCUCACCCGUUUUCUAUCGCUCCGGUUUCCUUUAACAUCCAAUUCUCAGAACAAAUUCGGACAUAAUUGUUUAUAAACCAUUUGUUUGUUUUAAUAUAUCCCUAAUUUGAAAAGAUUUGUUUUCUACAUGCUCGUCGUAUGUCUGACUAAUUUAUGCCUCUUUAAUUUUGUUAAUCGUCCUCUUUUUUAAGUAUACGUAUUUGUUUCUGCAGUUUUUAUUUUCAGGGCUUGUCGCUAUUUGAAUGUCUUUGUGAUCAGAUCUCUUUUUGAAUGGUUAGCAGUGUGUGGAAGGAGAUGGAGUGUAUUGCGUCUUAUUAUUUGGCCAACGAACGAACCCCUUGUAACUUUCUUUUUCUCUAUUUCCUUUCUGAUUUAGGUUCUUUCUCCCAGUUUUUGUAUUGCAGUUUACUCGAUUUUCAUUAUUUUAUGAAUGAUUUGGUUCGUGACAUUUUGGAAAACUGAUAUGAUAAUUGCGAA